GCGGUAGAGAGAAGCUUGCUUCUCUUGAGAGCGGCGGACGGGUGAGCCAUGCCUAGGAAUCUGCCUGGUAGUGGGGGAUAACGUUCGGAAACGGACGCUAAUACCGCAUACGUCCUACGGGAGAAAGCAGGGGACCUUCGGGCCUUGCGCUAUCAGAUGAGCCUAGGUCGGAUUAGCUAGUUGGUGAGGUAAUGGCUCACCAAGGCGACGAUCCGUAACUGGUCUGAGAGGAUGAUCAGUCACACUGGAACUGAGACACGGUCCAGACUCCUACGGGAGGCAGCAGUGGGGAAUAUUGGACAAUGGGCGAAAGCCUGAUCCAGCCAUGCCGCGUGUGUGAAGAAGGUCUUCGGAUUGUAAAGCACUUUAAGUUGGGAGGAAGGGUUGUAGAUUAAUACUCUGCAAUUUUGACGUUACCGACAGAAUAAGCACCGGCUAACUCUGUGCCAGCAGCCGCGGUAAUACAGAGGGUGCAAGCGUUAAUCGGAAUUACUGGGCGUAAAGCGCGCGUAGGUGGUUUGUUAAGUUGGAUGUGAAAUCCCCGGGCUCAACCUGGGAACUGCAUUCAAAACUGACUGACUAGAGUAUGGUAGAGGGUGGUGGAAUUUCCUGUGUAGCGGUGAAAUGCGUAGAUAUAGGAAGGAACACCAGUGGCGAAGGCGACCACCUGGACUAAUACUGACACUGAGGUGCGAAAGCGUGGGGAGCAAACAGGAUUAGAUACCCUGGUAGUCCACGCCGUAAACGAUGUCAACUAGC
rnacentral:rRNA from 1 species